rnacentral:rRNA from 1 species
GAUGAACGCUGGCGGCGUGCUUAACACAUGCAAGUCGAACGAAACACCUUAUUUGAUUUUCUUCGGAACUGAAGAUUUGGUGAUUGAGUGGCGGACGAGUGAGUAACGCGUGGGUAACCUGCCCUGUACAGGGGGAUAACAGUCAGAAAUGACUGCUAAUACCGCAUAAGACCACAGCACCGCAUGGUGCAGGGGUAAAAACUCCGGUGGUACAGGAUGGACCCGCGUCUGAUUAGCUGGUUGGUGAGGUAACGGCUCACCAAGGCGACGAUCAGUAGCCGGCUUGAGAGAGUGAACGGCCACAUUGGGACUGAGACACGGCCCAAACUCCUACGGGAGGCAGCAGUGGGGAAUAUUGCACAAUGGGGGAAACCCUGACGCAGCGACGCCGCGUGAGUGAAGAAGUAUCUCGGUAUGUAAAGCUCUAUCAGCAGGGAAGAAAAUGACGGUACCUGACUAAGAAGCCCCGGCUAACUACGUGCCAGCCGCCGCCGUAA